GUCGAGCGGAUGAGAGGAGCUUGCUCCUCGAUUCAGCGGCGGACGGGUGAGUAAUGCCUAGGAAUCUGCCCAGUAGUGGGGGACAACGUUUCGAAAGGAACGCUAAUACCGCAUACGUCCUACGGGAGAAAGUGGGGGAUCUUCGGACCUCACGCUAUUGGAUGAGCCUAGGUCGGAUUAGCUAGUUGGUGGGGUAAAGGCCUACCAAGGCGACGAUCCGUAACUGGUCUGAGAGGAUGAUCAGUCACACUGGAACUGAGACACGGUCCAGACUCCUACGGGAGGCAGCAGUGGGGAAUAUUGGACAAUGGGCGAAAGCCUGAUCCAGCCAUGCCGCGUGUGUGAAGAAGGCCCUCGGGUCGUAAAGCACUUUAAGUUGGGAGGAAGGGCUUACAGCGAAUACCUGUGAGUUUUGACGUUACCAACAGAAUAAGCACCGGCUAACUUCGUGCCAGCAGCCGCGGUAAUACGAAGGGUGCAAGCGUUAAUCGGAAUUACUGGGCGUAAAGCGCGCGUAGGUGGCUUGAUAAGUUGGAUGUGAAAUCCCCGGGCUCAACCUGGGAACUGCAUCCAAAACUGUCUGGCUAGAGUGCGGUAGAGGGUAGUGGAAUUUCCAGUGUAGCGGUGAAAUGCGUA
rnacentral:rRNA from 1 species